GUUAGGAAUUUUGCGCAAUGGGCGAAAGCCUGACGCAGCAACGCCGCGUGAGGGAUGAAGGCCUUCGGGUUGUAAACCUCUUUUAGUAGGGAAGAACACAAUGACGGUACCUACAGAAAAAGCACCGGCUAACUCUGUGCCAGCAGCCGCGGUAAUACAGAGGGUGCAAGCGUUAUUCGGAAUUACUGGGCGUAAAGAGCGCGUAGGCUGUUUGAUAAGUUUGAUGUGAAAGCCCUGGACUCAAUUCAGGAAGUGCAUCGAAUACUGUCAGACUAGAGUAUAGGAGAGGAGAACGGAAUUCCUGGUGUAGAGGUGAAAUUCGUAGAUAUCAGGAGGAACAACAGUAGCGAAGGCGGUUCUCUGGACUAUAACUGACGCUGAGGCGCGAAAGUGUGGGGAGCAAACAGGAUUAGAUACCCUAGUAGUCC
rnacentral:rRNA from 1 species